CCUACGGGAGGCAGCAGUAGGGAAUAUUGCUCAAUGGGGGAAACCCUGAAGCAGCAACGCAGCGUGGAGGAUGAAGGUUUUCGGAUUGUAAACUCCUUUUGUUAGAGAAGAUAAUGACGGUAUCUAACGAAUAAGCACCGGCUAAAUCCGUGCCAGCAGCCGCGGUAAUACGGAGGGGGCAAGCGUUACUCGGAAUCACUGGGCGUAAAGAGCGCGUAGGCGGGAUAGCAAGUCAGAUGUGAAAUCCUAUGGCGUAACCAUAGAACUGCAUUUGAGACUGUUAGUCUAGAGUAUAGGAGAGGUAGGUGGAAUUCUUGGUGUAGGGGUAAAAUCCGUAGAGAUCAAGAGGAAUACUCAUUGCGAAGGCGACCUGCUAGAACAUAACUGACACUGAUGCGCGAAAGCGUGGGGAGCAAACAGGAUUAGAUACCCCAGUAGUC
rnacentral:rRNA from 1 species